rnacentral:rRNA from 1 species
UGCGCAGGCGGUUAGAUAAGUCAGAUGUGAAAGCCCCGGGCUUAACCUGGGAACUGCCAUUGUGACUGCAAGGCUAGAGUGCGGCAGAGGGGGAUGGAAUUCCGCGUGUAGCAGUGAAAUGCGUAGAUAUGCGGAGGAACACCGAUGGCGAAGGCAAUCCCCUGGGCCUGCACUGACGCUCAUGCACGAAAGCGUGGGGAGCAAACA